AGAUCAAAGUGUAGUAUCUUUUCUUAUCAGCUUAAUAUCUGAUACGUCCUCCAUCGGAGGACAUCGAUAUUAAACUGAUUUUUGGACUAAGGUGAGAGCUUUGGAGCUUGCUCCCUCCUCACCACGGGUUGGCCCGGUAUUGCACUACC
rnacentral:snRNA from 1 species